rnacentral:rRNA from 1 species
UUAAGUAGUAAUAGUUAUGUUCUUGAAACUUAAAAAAUUUGGCGGUAUUUUAGUCUAUCCAGAGGAACCUGUUUUGUAAUCGAUAAUCCACGAUGGACCUUUCUUAAAUUUGUAAUCAGUUUAUAUACCGUCGUUAUCAGAAUAUUUUAUAAGAAUAAUAAUAUUCAAUAAUUUUAAUUAAAAUUUAUAUCAGAUCAAGGUGUAGCUUAUAUUUAAGUAAUAAUGGGUUACAAUAAAUAUAUUUAUACGGAUGAAAUUAUGAAAAAAUUUUUAAAGGUGGAUUUGGUAGUAAAAUUAUAAAGAUUAAUAAUUUGAUUUUAGCUCUAAAAUAUGUACAUAUCGCCCGUCGCUCUUAUUAUUAAGGUAAGAUAAGUCGUAACAUAGUAGAUGUACUGGAAAGUGUAUCUAGAAUGA